GGGAGGAGAACGGGGUUUAGACUUAAACAAAUGGAGGGGCAUCCUUGAUGUAGCAACCUACAUGAGUAAAUCCACCAAAGUUGGACAUAUAAGACAUAAGUGAAGAACUAAUCCUCAAGCCCACCUGUGAUGUAACAAUAGAAAGUAGGUCAGUGACUUGAAGCCUUUUUCUGUCUUGGGGAUCUGAAGAUAUGAGAAGGUUUGUUCAGACAUGGAUGGAUUAUUUGCCCCACUUCCUGCUCAUAGUCUUCCUCUAAAGGGUUGUGGGGUUGAUUAAUGCCAAUCCCUCUCUCCUCUUAGUAAUGGUUAUAGCCCCUCAGUUAUUCAGGAUCAAGCACAAGCAGUUCAAUGUGGUUGGUGUUCAAUGUGUUUGGUGGAGAAGGAUGUUCAAGAACUGCUGAGGGCACAAAGGAGGAGGAGAGUGUCAGAAGGAAAGCUUGGUGGAGAUCACCUUGGAGCUGGGUCUUGAUGAUGGCACCCAGUCUGGAUGUGAAACAUCUGCAUCCCUCUGGUCUCCUCUCUAUGCUCCCUCUGCUCUUCUCCAAGACAGCUUCUGGGGAAACAGCUCCUGGGGGAAGGUCCCCACCCACUGGAGGACAUCAAUGGCCUCCACUUCUUGCCACCUACAAUCUACCAUUAAUGCCUCUGCCAAAGAGAUCUUUCUAAUCUUUGAUGAUGCUCUGUGAAUAAAAAUCUGUAAUAACAAUAAAUAAUAAAUACA
rnacentral:lncRNA from 1 species